rnacentral:lncRNA from 1 species
GGAGAAAGGGAAAGAAGGAAGGAAGGAAGGAAGGAAGGAAGGAAGGAAGGAAGGAAGGAAGGAAGGAAGACCAGCCCUGUCUACAGAGUGAGUUCCAGAACAGCCAGGGCUGUUACACACAGAAACCCUGUCUCAGAAAGGAAGGAAGGGAGGGAGGGAUGGGGACAUCCUGUUCAAGGAGCUUUGUUCCAAAAUGCAUCCAGUGUGUCUACACCAGCAGACUUGCAGGAGAGCAAGAAUGGCGAGGGAAACCAAGACAAGCAUCUAAUUACUGAGGAUGCUGCAGCGCUUGAGGACUGGAGGUGUGCCUCAGUGGCAGGGCUGCUUGCCUGACAUGUGUGAAGCAAUGCUUAGUCUGAACAUGAAGGCACAGGCCUGUAAUGCCACUUGGGAAGUGGAGGCAGAAGGUCAGGAGCUCAAGGUCAUCCUCAGGUAUGUAGAGUGAGUAUUAGGUCAGCCCCAUCUCCAUAAGAAUCUUCUCAAAACAAAACAAAACAAUCAAUAACAAAACCACAAGGAAACAAACCUCCUCAGACACAGGUGAUCCCUAAGCAAGUAGAACUCUCUGUCUUACGUAUUCAGGAUGGUGAGCCAGAGAGUUACCACAGAAUCAGGGAGUCAGACUGACGCUUGCCAGGGUAAAAACUGCUCCGGGAUAGGAAAGAGUCCUGAGUCUGAAGAGGCUGCUGCUCUGACCAGAUGCCUGAGUGAGACAUGAUGAGUGCAGCAUUUUCCAGGGAGAAUAACUCAAAGCGGAAGCAGAAGGCAAAGGCCUCAAGGCAGGAAGGAAGCCAGGAUUUGGGAGGAAAGUUCAGGAGCCAGCGUGGUUGACAGAAGAGUAAUGGAAUAGAUGGAGAGGAGAUGAGCAAGCAAGGGCACUCACGCAUCACUUAGAACCCAAGGGAAGGAUUUGGAUCUUUCUCUGAUGACCAGGUUUGAGUUGUGGUUUAGAAAACACACAUCUGGCUACUGUACAGAGAAUAACCUAUAUUAAGGCUACAGUUGGUAGCACUGGAAGAUGGGUGAGAGGGCGGGAACAGCGGCUCUGCUGAGGCCCUGUGGUGUUCUCCAGGGGGUCUCAGCAGUUGCUCUUGAACAGGCCUAUGGAUCCAAUGUUUAUAAGGCCCCUGCAUUCUUCACAACAGAGGUCUAGUAGAGUAGUGAAGUCAGGUUUGCAAUGCCCGGGGCACGUGGCCCUGGGGAGCCAGUUCUCAGUUCUGUCUGAAGGUCACUGGCUUGGGACCUAGGAAGAACCUGGGGUUAGUGGAACCCUAAGGCAGGAGAAAUAGAUGUCCCAGGCUGAAGACAAUCAGGGCAACAGUCACUUCCUACUGGUGAGACAAUCAGCCCUUUGGCUCUAGUUACCUGUCAACUGGUUGGGUGGGGCCCACCCACAGAGAAGGCCUGUGCUUUACUGAUUAAAAUCUUAGAUUCUUUUAGAAACAGACACCCAGAAUAACGUUUGACUAAAAAUGUCUGGACACCAAGGCUCAGUUAAGUAUAAUAAUAAUAAUAAUAAUAAUAAUAAUAAUAAUAAUAAUAAUCACAACCAGUUGAAAUAGAGCCAGCUAAAAGGUAUUUAUGGAAAGACUAAAUACCUCCCAGUUGAAAAUAUAAUGUAAAGACAGCCUUCAGCGGCCAGACACUGCUGUCUCUACAAACUGGGGUUGACUGUGCUGAAGGGCUUGUCCAAAGCAGUACAGGAAGGAAGGGGUUAAAUACAAUGCUUGGAAAGAGAAGCUAUGAAACUGUCCUUAUUUAUAAACAGUGUAAGUUUCAUCUAAGAAGUUCAAGUGCUUUUCUUCUACAAGAACCAAUAAAGUUCCAUAAGAUUACUGAACUCAAGCCAACACACAAAAAGAAUAAUGGGCAUUUCAAUAAAAUAACACCAGACAGAAAAUGAAAUAGAAAAUGGAAACAAAAAAAAAAACUUGUAAAAUACCCAGGAAUAAAACUAAUAAAUGAUGGUUAAGACUGUUGAAGGAAAAUAAAAUAUUUUUUGAAGAACCAAAAAAAAAAAAAAGUAUGAAGAUGGAUGCGUUACCGUAGAACGGCCGUGUGUCACCACCCCUCGAAAGCACCUCACACCCCCGUGACAUUUUGACCAGCAUCCCAGAGGCUUCACAGGGUUUGCCAGUGAGUCCUAAAAUCAAUAUAAAAACACGAGGCAUCAAGGAAAGUUAGGUAUAGAGAAAUAUAGGGAGGGAGAGAAAGACAGAGAGAGAGAGAGGGAGGGUGUUGGGGGGGUGGCUGACCAAAUGUAUCGCAAAUUUGUACAGCUCUCUAAAUGUGGUCUUGGCAUAAAAAGAGACCAAUAAGCCCAGCUGUGUGGCAGAGAAUCCAGAAACACUAGAAACACUUAUAAACUUGAGCUGUAACCAAGAUGGCCCUGCAAAGCAAAAGAAAAGACAGGCCAGCCUGGCAAACAGGGGUAGGGCCACUGAUGACCCCUGCAGAAAAGAAGAUGGGAUCCCAUUUUCACACAUAGACAAAAAAAUAAACCCAGAUGGAUUAAAGACCCAGAUGUGCGAAACAGCUUUGGUUAAAAAUGUGCAAUGCCCAAAAGAAAAGUUUCUUACUCCAGGGACAAAAAGUUGCAGAAAACAUUGGUGAAUCUGAUGACACCAAGAUCCAAAGACAGAAAGAGUUUGUUCAACAUAGAAGAGAGAGGAGGUGGGUAAAAACGCAACCUUUCACAUGACAAAGAAUUGUUCUCGGUUAAGUAGCUCCAAAGAACAGGGUCAUUAAUGAGUCUGUGAGCAGCAAAUGAAGACCAGAAUAAACAAAUGAGGAUAGGAACAAGCACACAGCCUACUGACAGGCUGGAGUUACGUGUCCCGCCAGGUCCCGCCAUGUCAGCCCCAAAUGAACAGAGACGAAAUAUUAAUUAUAAAACUGUUAGCCAAUGGCUGGGGCUUCUUAUUGGCUAGCUCUAUCUUAAUUAUGAACACAUUUCUAUUAAUCUAUGUAUGUCCACGUGGCCUUGGCUUACUGGAGAAGGGUCUGGCCUUGUUACUCCUUUGUGGUCUAUGUGGCAUCUCCCCAUGACCCAUUUCUACCUAGCUUUCCCAGAAUUCUCCCUCAUCUCCUAGUCCUGCCUAUUGGCCUAGUCAUGCUUCUAUUGGCCAAACAGUAUUUUAUUCAUCAACCAAUAAGAGAAACAUAUGCACAGAAGGACAUCCCCCAUCAGAAAUAAAACAAAACAAAACAAGCAAACAAAAAAACCUGACCUGCAGAAACCAUUGCAUCAGAACCCACAGAAUUUAAGAUACAGGACAAGGAAGCAGGGUGGUGUUUGUAGAGUAGCCAUCACUUUCAUGGGCUGCUACUAAGCGCCAGAAAUACCACACUCCACAUUAGCUUCAAAUCACCCUCCCUAACUUAGUAGAUCAACUUCUCACUGUAAAACUCGUGGGGAAAGUGUGCAGCUGUAAAAGGGUGCAGGCAUGGAAAUGCUUGUUAAGUGGCAUGGUUUCCAACAGAUAUUUAAAACCCCAAAGAGCACUGAAAUAGAUUAAUCUUUUGUGAUGUAACUUUCAGAAGAAUACACAUUCCACAAGGCACAGACACACGCCCACAGUCCCAGCACUUCCAGACUGAGGCGGGAAGAUCAUGAGUUUGAGGCUAAGCAGGCAACAGACACCCAUAAUUAAAAACUAAAGAAUAAAAUAAAAUAUUCUAGUGGAGUUUUACUGUCAUGAACUCUCAAAAGCAUAGGUUGUAUCCUGGGGAGGUAGCAGAGCUGAGGCACUUGCCUAACAGCAGGGGGAUCUGAGUUACUCCCUAAAACCCCUGUAAGAAAUCCAGGUAGGGUAGCAUAUGCUUAUAAUCUCAGCUCUGGAAACGCAGGGGCAGGUAGAUCCCUGGGGCUCACUGGCCAGCCAGCCCGGUCUUUUAAGUGAGUUCUAUGCCAGUUAGAGACCCUGUUUCCAAAAAACAAAGUGGACAGUGCCUGAGGAAGGACCCUGGAGGUUGACCUCUGGCCUCUACACACAUGCAUAGGCUCCUGCACACACAUAUGUGCUGUCACUCACAGUGAGUGCUUUUUUUCUUUUUUUUUCUUUUUCUUUUUUUUUUUUUUUUUUUGGUUUUUCAAGACAGGGUUUCUCUGUGGCUUUGGAGGCUGUCCUGGAACUAGUACUUGUAGACCAGGCUGGUCUCGAACUCACAGAGAUCUGCCUGCCUCUGCCUCCUGAGUGCUGGGUUAAAGGCGUGCACCACCACAGCCCGGCUCACAGUGAGUGCUUUUUAACUUAAGUUGUAGAUUGGAGAAUUCCACUGUGUACCAUGUGUAGAAGCUUGGAUAUGCAGAAAGCACACCCACAUUGUGUAUUAUCUGUGCACAUGCCAAUCCAUCCUGGUGGACACAAAAAUGCUGAGUUGUGCAUGAGACAUAAAACACCAAGCCAGAGAAGUAUGUGAAGAGACAGCAGUGUGGGAAGUCUAGAUGGCUGAAAUGACCUCAAUAAUCUGGUGAGCUUAACGAGAACCUGGAGCAAACAUCGGCUGGUGUUCUGCUUUCUAAAACUGUGUGAUGGGUGGAAUGCACAGUGCUGCCUUUUCAUUACUCCCACUUCUUAAAAUACAAGCACACACACACACACACACACACACACACACACACACACACGGACACACGGACACACACAUGAACACACACAGACACACACAUAUAGACACACAGGUAGACAGACACAUAGGCACAUACACAUGGAAACACAGGCACACACACACACACACACACACACACACACACACACACACACACGGACACACACAUGAACACACACAGACACACACAUAUGGACACACAGGUAGACAGACACACAGGCACAUAGACACACAUGGACACACAUACACGGACACAUAGGCACAUACAAAUGAACACACAGGCACACACACAGACACACCCAUAUGGACACACAGGUAGACAGACACACAGUCACAUAGACACACAGGCACACACAGACACACACAGGGACGCACACAUGGACACACAAGCACACACACAAGGACAUGUAAACACAUACAUACCAUGCUAACCCCAGGCUGGUUUUAAGAAUCAUGAACUGAAUUGGGGUAUAGAAACACAAAGCCCACUGAAAAUGCCACCAUUAUAUCUUUUUGUUGGUCAUCUGGAACCAUGGAAGCCAGAAGAGCCAUACUUGUCUCUGUCCUCCACAUCCUGGGAGUGUGAGAGGAAGCCAUGACUAAAGUAAGACUUCUCAUGUGGUUCCUCCCAUUUGCAGUCGAGUUGUCCCGAGACAGGGUGUAGCCAUUGAACCCGAUGGCAGUAACGACAGGAGUGGAUUUCGGAUUGACUGCAUCUUAAUCAAAAAUGAUUUAUAUGGAAAGUACUGAUGUCAUAAAUCAGUUUUCUGUUGUGGGUAUUUCCUUCUUGGUUGACACAGACUUGGAAGGCAAGGCUUACCCUCAAAAGUAGGACAGUUGGGGGUCUGAAGAUCAAUGAGCAGAGCAGAUUGCCCCUGCUCUCCACUUUCUGGGAGCUAGGGUUUCCAAAGACAAGUUCAGUGCAGGAACCUGCCCCAUCUGCUUCAAGUUCAAGGUCAGUGCAGGCAUCCACUGAGUGGAUUUUUUCUGUUUUCAUUUCCCAUGUGGCAUCGGCUCAGAGGCCUUAUUAAAACUGCCUGUCACUGGUCUGCAGAAAGAAGUGAAUAUCCAACUGGGCACUAAUCUUAAUUCCUCAUUGAACAGUAAUUAAACUCUGAAGUUUAACUCAGUUAAGAGUAGUUUUUUUUUUUUUUUUCCUUCUCUCCUUCCAUCAAACAGAUAGCAUACUUGUCCUGGCAGGGGGCUCCCGACUCCCUAAGCCCUGCUUAAACAUUUCUUUUUGUAAUUAUUUACCCAAUCACCUGAUAUUGCCUCCCCCACUCCCAUGGUAAAAGCCAAAGCUGUUAGAGCAAAGCUUAUAUUUCUUUCUUUUUUCACUAGUUUAGCAGGCUAAGUAAUUUUGUUGAAGAUUAAAUUCAUCGGCAAGCAGCUCACACUUAUCCUAGGAAAAGAAGGAAAGAAGAAAACGGGAAAAUGCCUAGCAUCCCUUUAACUUGGCAUGUUUACUGACUGUUUGGUGCAUUUCCUUUUUUCCUCCUGGAUCUUUUUUAUAUGUGCAGCUUUGGAGGAGGUUGGAGGUAGAUUUUACAUCAUUUUAAAAUACACCAUAGUACCAGUUCUGUGCCUGCUUGCUUUUAUUUUUAAAGAAAAUGUUGUAAGCUUUCAGGCCAGUAGGGCUGGCUGUGUUUUGCUUUAGUUUUUAAGCCAACGGCAAAUGAAUCAAACUUUGCUGCAUUUUCUUUGGCAUGGUCCUUAAUUAGUUUCUCUGCCUUUUUUUUUUUUUUUUUUU